UAAUCACAGGUCAGCAUACUGUGGUGAAUACGUUCCCGGGCCUUGUACACACCGCCCGUCACACCAUGAGAGUUGAGAAUACCCGAAGCCCAUGUCAAAGUGGCCGAAGGUAGGCUUGAUGAUUGGGGUGAAGUCGUAACAAGGUACC
rnacentral:rRNA from 1 species